GAAGAUAUGAUCACCAUAGUAUUGAAUAUCAUGUAUGGAGGAAGGACCUGCAAAAGACAUUGUUAAGGAGAGGAGACAAAAUUUGAAGUAGUUGCUUAUAGGUUCUCACAGUAUAAUAGCUAGUCUUGAUUUAUAUAGACACCGCUAGAAUUUUCAUCAAUCAGUAGGAAAGUUCAGAUGAAAGAAACUUGGGGAAAUAUAUGGUCAUCAACUAGGAUUAGGAUAUCCUAUAGGUUUUGAAUUAGAAACUUG
rnacentral:misc_RNA from 1 species